AUGGCAGGACCGGGCAGGACAGAAAUGUACUCGUGUUAGAGGAUUUGUGUGUAUUGACGCUGUUGAACUUGCGAUUUUAAAUCGGAGGAAUCAGAGUAUAUGCCAUUCUAUUGAAUAUAAAGGAGUAGUGUUUCAGUUGUAAUAAAAUGAGAGCGAAGUGGAGAAAGAAGCGAAUGCGGAGGCUGAAGCGAAAAAGGAGGAAGAUGAGGGCAAGGUCUAAAUAAACAGCAAGUGGGGGUCAAAAUAAGCAGUGAGUGACUACAGAUCACCACCUUGCCAGAAACCAACAACAGUGGGUAUGAGUUUCAAGCUGUAUGGAGUAUUGUUAAAGUCUGGGAUUGCUGUAUUGACAUUGACUUUCAAUAAAGGACAGUUUGUAUUUGCACUUUUA